ACAGCCACAGAUAACACCGGGCCGCCCAAUAGAGCCUCCGAAACAUGUUUUCAUCCCAGCUCAUCACACCCAGAUACAGAGGGAACCGUUGAGAUGCGGCGGGAUGAGAAGAAAAGGCAGUAUUUGACACUCUGGGAAAAAGACUGAGCUCCCCUGGCGGCCUCUGGAGAGGAGCCGGCAUUUGGCAGCAUGAGGGUGCAGAGAGAGUGAAGCUGGGUCUUACCUGCUGUACACCUGUCCUGAGUUCUCUGCAAUUAACUCCACCCUAAGCUCAGUCAUCUUAAGACUGGCUUUCACCUGCCUUCAUCGCCAGAUUGUUCCUACA